UGUGUGUUCAACACAGUCAGAGCCAACAUGAAGACAUCCACAGUCUUGGUUCUGCUGGCUUUGACUGCCUGUACUCUGGCUUCUACCCCAGAUGGAUGGCAGACGGUGGAAAGAGGAAUUCGAUUCUGUACUCAUAAGCACCUCUGGAAGAUUUUUUUCUGAAUCCACGGAACCCAUGCCUGCUACUUUCUUGCCCUCGAAUUGCACCCUUAAAAGAUGAAAACCUAUAAUGUUGUGACUGCUUCCUAUUCUGUGUGUCCAAAAUAAAUGAUCCUUAGCAUUG